rnacentral:lncRNA from 1 species
CAUCGCGCCAUCAUCGUAAUCCAUCGUGUAGCCUUCGUGAUCCAUCUUGUAGGCUUCGGCUGAGAUAUGAAGCUUAAAUACCGUCUUCGGUUAACCUUCGUAUGUCCAUCUUUUGCUAUCGUAUAUACUUUCGGCACCCUCGUAUAGACUUCGUUAUUCAUCGUACUUGCUUCGGUCACUUUUUGGUAUUUAACGAGAUCGGGACCAACUUCAUACGAACUUACAAUUUUCGCAUUCGGGUGUCCAUCGUAUAUAAAAAUCGGGACAGUGUGACGCGGGCAUAACAC